rnacentral:rRNA from 1 species
GACGAACGCUGGCGGCGUGCUUAACACAUGCAAGUCGAACGGAAAGGCCCCUUUGGGGGUACUCGAGUGGCGAACGGGUGAGUAACACGUGAGUAACCUGCCCUUGACUUCGGGAUAACUUCAGGAAACUGGGGCUAAUACCGGAUAGGAAUCCUUGCUGCAUGGUGGGGGUUGGAAAGCUUCGGCGGUUUUGGAUGGACUCGCGGCUUAUCAGCUUGUUGGUGGGGUAGUGGCUUACCAAGGCUUUGACGGGUAGCCGGCCUGAGAGGGCGACCGGCCACAUUGGGACUGGGAAACGGCCCAGACUCCUACGGGAGGGAGCAGUGGGGAAUAUUGCACAAUGGGCGGAAGCCUGAUGCAGCAACGCCGCGGGCGGGAAGACGGCCUUCGGGUUGUAAACCGCUUUCAGCAGGGGCGGAGCUUGUGGUGACGGUACCUGCAGAAGAAGCACCGGCUAACUACGUG